rnacentral:ncRNA from 1 species
GUCCCGAGCAUGACUAUAAACUUCUCACCGCCAGAUAUUACAUCAUUUGAUCACUGAUGGCUCAAUGGUAUCCGGCGGACAACCGAACAUCACAGCUGCCUUUUGAGCGGGUUGCUGCAAUCCGAAACGGAGAGAUUCGUUUGGACUGCGGUUGGUUUAUCACACCCAUUUUGCAGCUUUCAU